rnacentral:rRNA from 1 species
UCUGUGCCGGAGUUAACGCAAUAAGUACCCCGCCUGGGGAGUACGACCGCAAGGUUGAAACUCAAAGGAAUUGACGGGGGCCCGCACAAGCGGUGGAGUAUGUGGUUUAAUUCGACGCAACGCGAAGAACCUUACCAGGUCUUGACAUUGAUGGACAGAACCAGAGAUGGUUCCUCUUCUUCGGAAGCCAGAAAACAGGUGGUGCACGGUUGUCGUCAGCUCGUGUCGUGAGAUGUUGGGUUAANNNNNNCANCGAGCGCAACCCCUAUCUUAUGUUGCCAGCACUUUGGGUGGGGACUCAUGAGAGACUGCCGCAGACAAUGCGGAGGAAGGCGGGGAUGACGUCAAAUCAUCAUGCCCCUUAUGACCUGAGCUACACACGUACUACAAUGGGAGUUAAUAGACGGAAGCGAGAUCGCGAGAUGGAGCAAACCCGAGAAACACUCUCUCAGUUCGGAUCGUAGGCUGCAACUCGCCUACGUGAAGUCGGAGUCGCUAGUAAUCGCAGGUCAGCAUACUGCGGUGAAUACGUUCCCGGGCCUU